AGAAAUGCUGAUUCUAUAUCUCUUGCUGCAGAAGACUUAUCAGAAGAUUCGGUAACAAUACGAAUUAAUUUUGAUGCCCCCUUUUUGGAUCAAGACAUGCCACUUGACCCUAGAAUUUCUGCUAUUCUAAUUAGGAAAGCGAUGCACGAUCACAUGCACGAUGAUUCUUCUUGAUGGUGAUUUUGAAUGAACACAAUCACAUGCGCCAUACUUCUACCUAUUUGGAUGUUGUAUACACACCUGAAAAAGUCAAAUUUGAAGAUAUUGCAGAAUUGUUACAAACUGAAUCUUUGUAAUACCUAUAAUUUCAGUAGUGUUUAAAGAAUAACUGAAUUGUAAAUGUAUACCUUUGUGUCGGGUACAUUUCUUGAAAAAAUACUUCUGGAUUUUUCGCCACUAGAUGAAAAUCUACAAAAUAAAUUGUUACGAAAUUUGUUACAAAUCCCGCAUUUUUUCAUAAGCUUUUUACACAAGUAUCACUACUGAUGUAUCACUAAUGAUGUCACUACUGACGAUUUUUCAAAUCCUUACUUAAUUUUAAUAAAGUAGUAUAUUUAAUAAAUCAAGUUAGGAUGCAAAUACCGUAUGAUCGAAAAA